CAGUCGCCGCGGUAAUACAGAGGAUGCAAGCGUUAUCCGGAAUGACUGGGCGUAAAGCGUCUGUAGGUGGCUUUUCAAGUCCGCCGUCAAAUCCCAGGGCUCAACCCUGGACAGGCGGUGGAAACUACCAAGCUGGAGUACGGUAGGGGCAGAGGGAAUUUCCAGUGGAGCGGUGAAAUGCGUUGAGGUCGAAAAGAACACCAACAGCGAAAGCACUCUGCUGGGACGACACUGACACUAAGAGACGAAAGCUAGGGGAGCAAAUGGGAUUAGAUACCCCUGUAGUCCCUGUCUCUUAUAC
rnacentral:rRNA from 1 species